rnacentral:rRNA from 1 species
AACGAACGCUGGCGGCAGGCCUAACACAUGCAAGUCGAACGCCCUAGCAAUAGGGAGUGGCAGACGGGUGGGUAACACGUGGGAACCUUCCCUAUAGUACGGAAUAGCUCAGGGAAACUUGAAGUAAUACCGUAUACGCCCGAGAGGGGAAAGAUUUAUCGCUAUAGGAUGGGCCCGCGUCGGAUUAGCUAGUUGGUGAGGUAAUGGCUCACCAAGGCGACGAUCCGUAGCUGGUUUGAGAGAACGACCAGCCACACUGGGACUGAGACACGGCCCAGACUCCUACGGAGGCAGCAGUGGGAAUAUUGGACAAUGGGCGCAAGCCUGAUCCAGCCAUGCCGCGUGAGUGAUGAAGGCCUUAGGGUUGUAAAGCUCUUUAGCAGGGAAGAUAAUGACUGUACCUGCAGAAUAAGACUCCGGCUAACUUCGUGCCAGCAGCCGCGGUAAU